AAAGAGGUCACAUGUUAAGAGUCCUAGGAACAUGACCCAGAACUAAGGGUUAUGAGUUGGGGUAGAGAGACUUUGAUUAGUUCCUGAGAUGUGAUAGACCAGCUCAAAGAGACAGAAAGGGAUGUGGAGAAAAGGACUAAAAAAGAUGAGACCCAUAAAGGAGAUCAAGGGCUUUUGGUGUGAGUUUGCUGGCAUUGAUUCUUCUACUCCAUUUGGCAUUAGUGGCAUAGGAGGAAGACACCUUCAUGGGCUGAGACUGUCUGGCGACUGACUAACUUCCAAUGAAGUUCCCAUAAAAAUGAAAGUCUUGUGUCCAACUUCAUGGAUAUGAAGGAGCCUGUAGAAAACUUUCAAGUUGCAUCCCAAUUUGAUUCCAUUUCUAGUCCUUUCACAGACCAGAAACAUUCCAUAAGUUUAUGUUCCAUCAUGAUCUCCUGUCACCUUGCUCAGAAGGUGAACAGGAAAGAUGAAAGGAAUUAUUUUCUCUACUCCAAAUUUGUAUUUAUUGAUUUAUUGGUUUCAAUCUGUUUAGAAACCAUCCAAGGAUUUCCAUCAUGUAAUGACUAAAGUCUUUGAAGACUGUUUCCAAUAUGACCUCAAUGUUUCUUUCUCUAUUCCCCAACCAGAAUCCUCUGCUUCAAUCAAACUUAUUUUCUACCCUGAAAUUUUUGUUUACAUCAUCCUCCACAUCUAAUAUGUUCUCUUCUGCCUUCAUCUAUCUUUAGAUCAAUUUCAAUUUUCUCUUUUUCUAUGAUAUCUUCCCAGACCACUGUGAGCUACAGGGAUUUCUCCCUUUUUAAAAAUUAUUACAUUUAUUUCUAUAUCAAGUAUAAGCAAUUUCUGGACAGUAUUUUGGAUGCCCUAUAUAAAAAAAUUCUAUCAUGAUAUCAAAUAGCUAUAAAAAUUUAAGAGGAAAAAUUAAAUCAAUGCCCUAGAAUUAGAGAAGAAUCUUCUUUAAAAGGUUAUUGAUUUUUGUCCAAGAAUGUUUUGCUUUUCAGUUGACUGAUCUGUCAGACAUUUUAUAUCAUGUACUACUUUUUUUGGACUGCUUUUGUGUUGUGAUUUACCUUUUAGUGUUAUUUAUAUUGGGAAUAGUCUGGUCAAUGAGAACUCAGUCUUUAGAGCAUGUAACUGCCAAUAUCUCCCUCCCUGAAGACUCACAGAAUUUCUUCCCCUCACUUGAAAGACAUCAAGGACCAGAGUAAGAAAGAAAUAUGGCACUAAAGAAAAAUGCCACUAAACAAACAAUUAAAAGACCUUUUGUCACUAUAUAAUAAGCCAACAGAAAUCCAAAAUACCUGAACAUGUCCUGAAACAGGGAGAGAAAGGGGUCCUUCAUCACCCAUUUCCUGAAGCAGACAGCAAACAUCCAUUGAGUAGAUACGAGGUGGAACAUAUUGUAUAUGCUCUAAAUCAGAGGUUCUAAAGUUUUUAAAAAAUAUUUUGAUAAUUGCAUCUCAGUAUAAUAAGAGUCCUUUGUCAUCUUAUUAAUUUUUUAAUGUAUUUAGAAGCAUUGUUAUGAGAAGGGGUCUAUUGACUUGACUAGACUGCCAAAGAAUUUAAGAAAAUAAAAAGAGUUGAAGAAAUCCCACUCCAGUGACUGGGACCUCAUCAAUCAGUCCUUCCUUUAACUUUGCAUGAACUUAUCUCUUGUUGCCUCACCUGAAUUUUGUUUCCUGAUAUCAAAAAAUGAAAAAAUGAAUGAACAAAUAGGUAAGGUACUUUAGGUCUUAGUGUG